GAAUAGUUCUAAGUUAAUAAUUUGUGUAUUGACUAUUUGUCCCAAAAACUUAAUUCCAAAAUCGAAAAAAUUCAAAUCUCAAAAGUGAUCAAAACAAAAUGAAGUAAACUCAAACAGUCAAUACUGGGCAUCAUGGGUUCUGGUUUACGCAGUCCAAACAAAAGGUCAAAACAGUCAAAAUGCAGCUCUUUGUUUACUUUUAUUCAGUUUUUUGGCUAAAACAAGUUACAGUCUUCGGAUA